ACGCAGGUUCUGCUAGAAGAGAUCCGUCGGUACGAGCAGAACCGAGCGAGCAGAACCCCCUUCCUUAUCCGCAUUGUCGUCCAUCCCAAUGACAGAGAUUCUACCAAGGCUUUUCAGACUGCCCAGAAUGCUUUGCAUCUCAGAGGGUUCGUAUUGGGUGCUCGACCAGAGCAAGACAUCAGGAUUGUGCUGCUGGGAAAACCGGAG